CUAACUUCGGGCCCACGGCCGGGGGAGAGCGAAGGGGGCUGGCGUUGCUCUGAAUCACUGGGCGUAAAGCGCACGUAGGCGGGCUCUUAAGUCGGUGGUGAAAUCCUGGAGCUCAACUCCAGAACUGCCUUCGAUACUGGGAGUCUCAGAGUCCGGGAGAGGUGAGUGGAACUGCGAGUGUAGAGGUGAAAUUCGUAGAUAUUCGCAAGAACACCAGUGGCGAAGGCGGCUCACUGGCCCGGUACUGACGCUGAGGUGCGAAAGCGUGGGGAGCAAACAGGAUUAGAUACCCCUGUAGUC
rnacentral:rRNA from 1 species